GACGAACGCUGGCGGCGUGCUUAACACAUGCAAGUCGAACGGAAAGGCCCUGCUUUUGUGUGGUGCUCGAGUGGCGAACGGGUGAGUAACACGUGAGUAACCUGCCCUUGACUUUGGGAUAACUUCAGGAAACUGGGGCUAAUACCGGAUAGGAGCUCCUGCUGCAUGGGGGGGGUGGGAAAGUUUCGGCGGUUGGGGAUUGACUCGCGGCUUAUCAGCUUGUUGGUGGGGUAGUGGCUUACCAAGGCUUUGACGGGUAGCCGGCCUGAGAGGGUGACCGGACACAUUGGGACUGAGAUAGGGCCCAGACUCCUACGGGGGGCAGCAGUGGGGAAUAUUGCACAAUGGGCGGAAGCCUGAUGCAGCAACGCCGCGUGCGGGAUGACGGCCUUCGGGUUGUAAACCGCUUUCGCCUGUGACGAAGCGUGGGUGACGGUAAUGGGUAAAGAAGCACCGGCUAACUACGUG
rnacentral:rRNA from 1 species